rnacentral:misc_RNA from 1 species
GAUGAAGAAUGCAGCGAAAUGCGAUAAGUAAUGUGAAUUGCAGAAUUCAGUGAAUCAUCGAAUCUUUGAACGCACAUUGCGCCCGCCAGUAUUCUGGCGGGCAUGCCUGUUCGAGCGUCAUUUCAACCAUCAAGCCCUGCUUGCGUUGGGGUCCUGCGGCUGCCCGCAGGCCCUGAAAACCAGUGGCGGGCUCGCUAGUCACACCGAGCGCAGUAAUACAUCUCGCUUUGGGCGUGCGGCGGGUUCUUGCCGUUAAACACCCCCUUUUUACCAAGGUUGACCUCGGAUCAGGUAGGAAUACCCGCUGAACUUAAGCAUAUCAAUAAGCGGAGGA